GGUUUGUAGCUCAGUGGUAGAGUGCUCGCCUAGCAUGCACGAGGCACUGGGUUUGAUUCUCAGUACCA
rnacentral:tRNA from 1 species